AAAGCAUUCUCUGGUGUUGAAGGCCCUGCAAAGCAGCAUCGCGGUGGCGGAGCGUCGUUUGCGACGCCCAACACACAAAACAAGCGGUGAGUGCUUUGGGGUGGGGUGACUGCGUACCUUUUGUAUAAUGGGUCAGCGACUUAUAUUCUGUAGCAAGGUUAACCGAAUAGGGGAGCCGGAGGGAAACCGAGUCUUAAUUGGGCGUUAAGUUGCAGGGUAUAGACCCGAAACCCGGUGAUCUAGCCAUGGGCAGGUUGAAGGUUGGGUAACACUAACUGGAGGACCGAACCGACUAAUGUUGAAAAAUUAGCGGAUGACCUGUGGCUGGGGGUGAAAGGCCAAUCAAACCGGGAGAUAGCUGGUUCUCCCCGAAAGCUAUUUAGGUAGCGCCUCGUGAAUUCAUCUCCGGGGGUAGAGCACUGUUUCGGCUAGGGGGCCAUCCCGGCUUACCAACCCGAUGCAAACUGCGAAUACCGGAGAAUGUUAUCACGGGAGACACACGGCGGGUGCUAACGUCCGUCGUGAAGAGGGAAACAACCCAGACCGCCAGCUAAGGUCCCAAAGUCAUGGUUAAGUGGGAAACGAUGUGGGAAGGCCCAGACAGCCAGGAUGUUGGCUUAGAAGCAGCCAUCAUUUAAAGAAAGCGUAAUAGCUCACUGGUCGAGUCGGCCUGCGCGGAAGAUGUAACGGGGCUAAACCAUGCACCGAAGCUGCGGCAGCGAACGUAUCACUUAAAGCGAUUCAGCGGGUUACGAUUGACGGAGCGAAGCGACGUCAAAGCGUAUACAAAGUCGAGUCGGUUUAAGGAUACGUUCGUUGGGUAGGGGAGCGUUCUGUAAGCCUGUGAAGGUGUGUCGUGAGGCAUGCUGGAGGUAUCAGAAGUGCGAAUGCUGACAUAAGUAACGAUAAAGCGGGUGAAAAGCCCGCUCGCCGGAAGACCAAGGGUUCCUGUCCAACGUUAAUCGGGGCAGGGUGAGUCGACCCCUAAGGCGAGGCCGAAAGGCGUAGUCGAUGGGAAACGGGUUAAUAUUCCCGUACUUGGUGUUACUGCGAAGGGGGGACGGAGAAGGCUAUGUUGGCCGGGCGACGGUUGUCCCGGUUUAAGCGUGUAGGUGUGUGUUCCAGGUAAAUCCGGUUCACUUUAACACUGAGGCGUGACGACGAGGCACUACGGUGCUGAAGCAACAAAUGCCCUGCUUCCAGGAAAAGCCUCUAAGCAUCAGGUAACAUCAAAUCGUACCCCAAACCGACACAGGUGGUCAGGUAGAGAAUACCAAGGCGCUUGAGAGAACUCGGGUGAAGGAACUAGGCAAAAUGGUGCCGUAACUUCGGGAGAAGGCACGCUGACACGUAGGUGAAGUGAUUUACUCACGGAGCUGAAGUCAGUCGAAGAUACCAGCUGGCUGCAACUGUUUAUUAAAAACACAGCACUGUGCAAACACGAAAGUGGACGUAUACGGUGUGACGCCUGCCCGGUGCCGGAAGGUUAAUUGAUGGGGUCAGCGCAAGCGAAGCUCCUGAUCGAAGCCCCGGUAAACGGCGGCCGUAACUAUAACGGUCCUAAGGUAGCGAAAUUCCUUGUCGGGUAAGUUCCGACCUGCACGAAUGGCGUAAUGAUGGCCAGGCUGUCUCCACCCGAGACUCAGUGAAAUUGAACUCGCUGUGAAGAUGCAGUGUACCCGCGGCAAGACGGAAAGACCCCGUGAACCUUUACUAUAGCUUGACACUGAACAUUGAGCCUUGAUGUGUAGGAUAGGUGGGAGGCUUUGAAGUGUGGACGCCAGUCUGCAUGGAGCCGACCUUGAAAUACCACCCUUUAAUGUUUGAUGUUCUAACGUGGACCCGUAAUCCGGGUUGCGGACAGUGUCUGGUGGGUAGUUUGACUGGGGCGGUCUCCUCCUAAAGAGUAACGGAGGAGCACGAAGGUUGGCUAAUCCUGGUCGGACAUCAGGAGGUUAGUGCAAUGGCAUAAGCCAGCUUGACUGCGAGCGUGACGGCGCGAGCAGGUGCGAAAGCAGGUCAUAGUGAUCCGGUGGUUCUGAAUGGAAGGGCCAUCGCUCAACGGAUAAAAGGUACUCCGGGGAUAACAGGCUGAUACCGCCCAAGAGUUCAUAUCGACGGCGGUGUUUGGCACCUCGAUGUCGGCUCAUCACAUCCUGGGGCUGAAGUAGGUCCCAAGGGUAUGGCUGUUCGCCAUUUAAAGUGGUACGCGAGCUGGGUUUAGAACGUCGUGAGACAGUUCGGUCCCUAUCUGCCGUGGGCGCUGGAGAACUGAGGGGGGCUGCUCCUAGUACGAGAGGACCGGAGUGGACGCAUCACUGGUGUUCGGGUUGUCAUGCCAAUGGCACUGCCCGGUAGCUAAAUGCGGAAGAGAUAAGUGCUGAAAGCAUCUAAGCACGAAACUUGCCCCGA
rnacentral:rRNA from 1 species